rnacentral:lncRNA from 1 species
CGCCUAAAAUCCAUGAGAUCCGCCGUUCUCUGACUUGAGAAGCUUCAGUCGUCUUCUUCAGCAAACUAACCUAGAAAAGCCUCGACCACCCUAACGCAGUAGACCUUCACCCAAAUGAACACCAAAAACUUAACUCUAUGACCCUACCAAGAUCAGAAGACAGUCGUUCCUGCUGCUUCAUCUUCAACACUCAGCACUGUUGGUUUCUUAGAAGAAAACUCUGCAGAAACCUAGCGAGAAAACCAGCCCAGUCGUGACCCUUCUCUUUCAGCUCGACCAAACGUUGUUGCUCCUCCACCUCAACCAAACCAACAGUCUAAACCUACACAAAAUCCGGCAAACCAGUGUUUUUACAGUGAGCGUUUGAAUCAGUCGAGGAUGGUUCCGGUUCGAGUUCUUAUUUUCGAUUGAAGUUUCCAGUUCUAAGUAUUUUCAGAUUCCAGAGCUGUUGCUCUCAAAGGUAUGUGAGGUUCUCUUUGUAACCUUUUUUGGACGUAUAAAUGACGAAUCGAAGGAUUGGAUUCGACUGGUUGUAUACACAUUUAAGUUCAUGUAUUCAUGGUGUUCAAUUGUUAUAUUUGCCUAUCUUUGAUUGAUCUAUCAUAACCUGGCUUUACUUGUUCAUUUAAAACAAAGGAUAUGAGUUCGAAUUUGUGAUUGCUUUGAUGCCAUUACUUGUAGUGAAUUCAUGGCUUCUUAGUUUCGUUGUGAAUGUCUUUUGCGACUUCAGCUCUCUUCUUUUUUCCCUCAAUCUGUUAGAACAUACGCAACGGAAGCAAGCAUACAAACCAGGCAUCGAAUACAUAUGAACUAGACAAUGCAAUAAUAACGAGAUUAGAAGCACUAACCUGUUGAAGUAGUUGCACAAACCUUCCAAGCAGCAAGAAUCCAGGGCUGCAGUCUUCUACUAUUUGCCUAGUAAAACCUUGGACGAUUUUGCUAUUGGGUGGGCAAGAACAAUACAACUGAAAGGUAAGUUAUUAAGUGAAACUAGUCUUCCUUUAAUAGACCCGAAAUUAAGCCACAAUAGGGGCUCAAAAACGUGUAGGAUUUUGCAAGUAGAAUCCUACUCUAACUCAAAAGUAUAACUUUUCUCCCAAGCUACUUUUUACCCAAGUCUGCCCAGGUUUUUACUUGGUAUAGCAGGGACCACAGAAAUAAUUAGAGGCUACUAAUUAUAGUAUUAAUUCGAAAUUAGCAUGAAUUAAUUCNNNNNNNNNNNNNNNNNNNNNNNNNAAAUUUAAUUCAAUUAACUAAUUAAAUCCUUUAUAAUUCCGCUUAAACUAUUUCAUGUGACGGAUACAAAAUCAAUCGGCCGGGGUUUCACAUAAAAACUUAUAAGCUUACAUAAAGGGGUAUCAUCAAACCCAAAACCGAGUCAUGGAUUCUAUCAACUAAUUAUUAUUCACAAAUGUUAUUCGUUAUUGUCCAAUCUAUUAGGCAUAUACUAACUCUAAAUAGAGUCGUACCUUUUGAUAAAUAAAAACAAUAAACAAAUUACAUUGAUCAUAAUAAUUAUAUCAAGAUUAGGAGUAUAAGCUCAUUUAAUGAAUUAGAGAAAAUAUUUUAUAUAUUCAGUACAAAAACAUCUUUUCUCUACUUGAUCCGUUCAAUAUACACUGAGUAUACUAGCACAAGAUGUUGGAGUAAAACUACUCCCAUAAUCAAGACAAAUUAUACGAUAAUCUUGUGCUACAAUCAUCAAGAUAUUUUGUCCAACAAUAUCUUUGAUUAUGAACAUAAUUUAUUAAUUAUGAAAACCAACAAUUUAAUCUUUUGUGCAUGAGCUAAGACUCCAUACACUAAAUUGUCUACUACAUAACUAAAAGGGCACACAUGUAACAAAUGAUCUAUUUAAAAUAGUACUUUAUUGAAUUGAAUAAAUUAAAUAAAUAAUUAUUCCAUAAAGAAUAAAAUAUAAUAUUAUGUCUAAAUAGCAUGGUUAAUAGUAUAUCCCAACACAAUCUCCGUACAAUUCUGUGUGGUUUUUGUUUGAAUAUUAAAAUGAAAUAAAAAUGGAGAGCUCGUGAAUUAGGAGCGUUCAUGUGACGACCCGGCCAGUCGUCUCAUGAGUUACCUCUCCGUUUCUCCCAUUUCAUCUUCUUUAUGCUUUGUUAUCCGUGUUUUGUGGUAUCGGGUGGCCGGAUCGAGUCCGAAAUGAGUUUGGUGAAGUUUGAGACACUUAAUCUCUUUUAAGAAGGCUUAAGUUGGAAAAGUCAACCGGAUAUUGACUUAUGUGUUAGAAGGCUCAGAAGUGAGUUUCGAUGGUUCGGUUAGCUUCGGGAGGUGAUUUGUGACUUAGGAGCGCGAUCGGAAUGGGUUUUGGAGUUGUAGAGAAGAUUUAGGCUUAAAUUGGCGAAGUUGAUAUUUUGGCGAUUACCGGUUGAUAGGCGAGAUUUUAAUAUAGGGGUCGGAAUGGAAUUCCAAGAGUUGCAGUAGCUUCGUUGUGUCAUUUGGGAUGUGUGUGCAAAAUUUAAGGUCAUUCAGACGAGAUUUGAUAGACUUUUUGAUCGAAAGCAUAAUUUAAGAGUUUUUGGAGUUCUUAGGCUUGAAUCAUAUGUUAAAUUGCUGAUUUGAUGUUGUUGUGAGCAUUCCGAAGUUUUGAACAAGUUUGAACGAUGUCAUGGGAUGUAUUGGUACAAUUGGUUUGAAGUUCCGGGAGUUCCGGGUAGGUUCCAGGUAGGUUCCGAGAUGUUUUAGGCCGAAAAUCAUAACUGUAGCAGGUCCAGAAGGGUUGCAGGCCUAGGAAACCACCCGCGCGGUCAGCACAAAAAGAAGUGCGGCCGCGGUAUGUGCCGUGCAGAACGCACAAAAAGAAGUGCGUCCGCAGUAGGUGCUGUGCGGACCGCACAAAAUGCAGUGCGGCCGCGGUGGAGAGCAUUUCACUGGUCCUACUUUGGAAGCUCAUACCUUUUGAUUUACAAGGAAUUUUGAGAUGAUUCAAAAACAAAAGUUGUAGCCCUUCGUGUCUAGUUUCCCGAAAGGUAAAGAUAUCGCAAUUUGGACAUCUGUAGCAAAAGUUAUGGCCAAAAAACUAAAGUUUGUCACUGUAGAGGAAAGCUUGUGCAGUCGCGGUCGCUUUUGUGCAGACCGCACUGGUUUUGUGCGGACCGCAGUCGAUUUUGUGUGGUCCGCGGAGGUGAAAAUCUGUGGGGUACUAUAUAAAUACAAGAUUUUAAGUUUUAUUUGAUAUUUUGACCUAGAGAGCUCGGAUUUUGGCGAUGUUUCGAAGGUUUUUCAAGAAAUUUAUCGGGGUAAGUGAUUCUAACUCAUAUUUGGCUAGAAUACAUGAAUAUAUCAUUGAAUUCAUCAUUUAAUUCGUGAUUUGUAAUGGAAUUUGGGAAGAAAAUUGUGAAACCUUUCAAAAAUGUUAAAUGAUGAUUUGAAAAACCAAAUGGUAUUGGAAUUGGAUAAUUUUCAUAUGGUUAGACUCGUGAGAGUAUAAGGAUUCUAGUUUUGUGAAUUUUGUCAAAUUCCGAGAUGUGGGCCCAGGGGUUGGGUUUGACCAAUUUUGGGAAUUUUAUGGUAAUUUAAUUAUUUUCGAGUGGGCUUUGUUCCCUUCACACAUUUUGAUGGUUUUGUACUGAUUUUGGCUAGAUUUGGAGCAUUCGGAGGCCGAUUCGAGCGGCAAAGGCAUCGCGGGCUAGAGUUCGGACUGGAUAGAGGUGAGUAAUGAUUAUAAAUAAUGCUCUGAGGGUUUGAAACCCCAAAUUUGCACAUCGUAGUGCUAUAUUGAGGUGAGACACGCGCUUGAUGAUGAGCGUGGGUUCGUAUAUUAUUGGGGAUUGUGACUUAGUCCAUCCCGAUUGAUAAUUUUACCGCGUAUUUGACUGAAACUUAAUUGCUAUCAUCAUUAUUUGGGCUGAUUGUCAUAUUUGGGUUUUGUACCAACUAUUUGAACCCUUCGGGGAUGUUUAUUACUAUUUCAUCAUUGUUUUGGCUUAUUACUUGAACUCAGUCCCGUUAUUUUCCAAUGUUUUACUACUCGACCAUUUUUACUCAGUUUUGAGACUUAAAUGAUAUUUUAAAUGAUGUUUUGGGCUGAGAAAUACUAUUUUACUAUUGCCCAAGGGGCUUGUGAUGAUUUUUGGACUGAGUAAGGUCGAGGGCCUAGUUGUGAGGAUACACUGAUACUGAUAUGAGGCUGAGGGCCUGAGAUGCAUAUAUAUGCCACAAGGUGGCUUGAUUGAUAUGAGGCCGAGGGCCUAGAUUUGAUGCCAUGAGAUGACUUGAUAUUGCGCUUGGGCCGUAAGGGGCCAUCCCGGAGUCUACACACCCCAGUGAGUGCGGAUACCCAUUGUGAUGUGAGAUUGAGCCCGAGGGGUAGAAAUUGUUGAUACUGUGCCCGAGGGGCGAACUUCUAUGUGUUUACUUUAUCAUAACUGUCUGUCAAUUACCUGUUUACUUGUUGUAGAAGUACUUUAUUUUGCUUUUCAUUGGUUUACUGCUUACAAUUACCUAUUUAAUUGCUUCAUUAUAGAAUACCAUGUGUAUACGUGUUUUCUUACUUUCAGUUAUUAUUUAUCUUUAUUACUCACUGGGUCGGAGUACUCACAUUACUCCAUGCACCUUACGUGCAGAUCCAGGUGCCCAGAGGCCGAGUGGGAGCUUUUCAGUCAUUCAGCAAUUGCCAAGGAUUUCGAGGUAGCUGCAUGGCGUCCGCAGCUCUGAUUUCUCCCUUCUAUCUUAUUACUUUUCCGAAUUCCUAGACUAUCUAUGUAGUAGGUUGUCCAGACUUGUAUUAGAGGCUCUAGACUUGUGACACCAGAUCAGUUUGGGCUAUGUAGUUUCUAGGUAUUGUUGACUUCCGCAUGUCUAUCUCGCUGUGUUAAACACUUAUUAUGAUAAUUGGUAAUUAAACCAUGUUAGCAAAUAAUUUAUUUAAAAUGAAAAUGAGUUGUGGUUUAUAAUUGGUCCGACUUGCCUAAUAAUGUGAUAGGCGCCAUCACAACCGGUAUUUGGGGUCGUGACAGUUCUAGAGCUCCAAACUGGAAAUGGAAUUGGAAAGCAGCCGAUCCUAAGACAUAUAUGUAUAAUGUACUCAUCCUUUACCUUUGUAAGAAAUUACUUGUCCACUAGCAUUUGGAUUCGAUGCUUGGGAGUUGGGAUAUUAUCAUUAUUAUGAAACAUUACAAUUUCCA